CAGGCGCCCCUUAACUUACUGCACUUAUGUGUUUAGAUCUCAGUUUAACAUUAUAGUCAACCAGUUCAGGUAUAUUUAAGUGAAAUAAGCCAUAUGACAGACUCAAAAACUUAUUUAAGAAAGACGCUUUAGUAAGAGGCUAGAUCUUAUUUUCAGCUGGUACAUUGAUGGGCUUUCUGCGUUUAAAAGCUUGAGCUUUCUCCAAACUUCUUUGGAGGAGGAAGGAAGGGUGUGGGAAGAAACAGGACAACGAAGUACAGUACUGAUUAAAAGGUGAAGAAGAACCACCCACAUACCUCCCCCAGUCACCUUUUUUGUUUUAUGUGGGAAGAUUUAUUUGCUGGCGUUUUCUGCCAUUCUGCCUUAAUUGGGACUCUGCUUUUUUAUUUAUGACAAAGUUUAUGAAUGAUUUGAUGAAGAUGUAGAAAUCAUGAGUAUUUUUGAAUCAUGAAAGCUGUAGAAAUCAUGACUCUCACCUUGAAGGCAUAUCUGGACUGUGUUCAGCUGCAUGUGACAGGAAGGUGGCGACAGUAACUAAACCAAAUAGUUUUAUUUUUCUCACCUAGCAAGAAAUCCAGAGGGGACUCGUCUUGGUAGCUCCAGCUCUUGAUGAGACCAUCAAAGACCUCCGUUGUCCUGAUCCUAAGGCUUGAGCGCUCGCACCAAGUGUAAGCAAUCUCAAGAUGGCUGCUGAAGCGCCAAACAUCAUGUCCACAUGCAAGACAAGAAGAAAGAGGAAGGAAAGAAAAUACACUAAUAGACUUCUGCUGACCUCCUUAUUGAUCAGAGCUGUGUCAUAUAGCCAUUCCUAGCAGCAAGGGAGGCUGGAAAGCAAGUCCUUGAGCUUAGCCUCCACAGUAGAGGCUGCAAGAGAAAAGGGGAGAGGUGUUGGAUGAACUAACCUUCAAUGUCUGCCACAGAAUGGAUCCAGAGCUCUAUCAGAGUUUUUAAAAAGUCCGUUAUAUAGUUACCACUUGGCUUGUCAGUAUGAAUGAAACUUUGUCAGCUGUAAAUUCAGAAUGAUGUAACGUGAUGCUGUUGUGGAAAGUUAACGUAAUGAGCUCUAGUGAUUAAAAGUAGAGUGUGAAGAAGA